ACCGGCGCACGGGUGCGUAACACGUAUGCAAUCUACCUACAACUAUCGGAUAGCCCUCGGAAACGGGGAUUAAUACGGUAUAACACAGGGGCACCACAUGGUGAUAUUUGUUAAAGCUUCGGCGGUUGUAGAUGAGCACGCGUCCCAUUAGUUAGAUGGCGGGGUAACGGCCCACCAUGACGAUGAUGGGUAGGGGUUCUGAGAGGAUGAUCCCCCACACUGGUACUGAGAUACGGACCAGACUCCUACGGGAGGCAGCAGUAGGGAAUAUUGGGCAAUGGAGGCAACUCUGACCCAGCCAUGCCGCGUGAACGAAGAAGGCCCUCGGGUCGUAAAGUUCUUUUAUACAGGGUGAACGUCAUCAUGCGUGAUGACCUGACAGUACUGUACGAAUAAGCACCGGCUAACUCCGUGCCAGCAGCCGCGGUAAUACGGAGGGUGCAAGCGU
rnacentral:rRNA from 1 species